GACGAAGGGGGCUAGCGUUGUUCGGAAUUACUGGGCGUAAAGCGCGUGUAGGCGGUUUGCCAAGUCGGGUGUGGAAGCCUUGAGCUCAACUCAAGAAAUGCACUCGGUACUGGCAGACUAGAGGACCGGAGAGGAUAGUGGAAUUCCCAGUGUAGUGGUGAAAUACGUAGAGAUUGGGAAGAACACCAGUGGCGAAGGCGGCUAUCUGGACGGUUUCUGACGCUAAGACGCGAAAGCGUGGGGAGCAAACAGU
rnacentral:rRNA from 1 species